UAACCUGCCUCUUAGCGGGGGAUAACUAUUGAAACGAUAGCUAAUACCGCAUAAAAGUCGACAUCGCAUGAUGUUGACUUGAAAGGUGCAAUUGCAUCACUAAGAGAUGGACCUGCGUUGUAUUAGCUAGUUGGUGAGGUAACGGCUCACCAAGGCGACGAUACAUAGCCGACCUGAGAGGGUGAUCGGCCACACUGGGACUGAGACACGGCCCAG
rnacentral:rRNA from 1 species